rnacentral:sRNA from 2 species
ACCUUUUAUUCGCUUAAUUCUUUUAGAAGCGGGGGGGGAACCAUUGUUGAUAGACUUGUCUAUCUCAGGGGGGGUUAAUCUUACUUAUGGUAAGACGGGAUACUCUCUAUUCCUAAUCCGACAGCUAACCUCGUCAGCGUUAUUUGUUUUAUUA